rnacentral:rRNA from 1 species
UACGUAGGGUGCGAGCGUUAAUCGGAAUUACUGGGCGUAAAGCGUGCGCAGGCGGUUAUGUAAGACAGAUGUUAAAUGCCCGGGCUUAACCUGGGAACUGCAUUUGUGACUGCAUGGCUAGAGUUUGGCAGAGGGGGGUAGAAUUCCACGUGUAGCAGUGAAAUGCGUAGAUAUGUGGAGGAACACCGAUGGCGAAGGCAGCCCCCUGGGUCAAGACUGACGCUCAUGCACGAAAGCGUGGGGAGCAAACAGG